rnacentral:lncRNA from 1 species
UAUAUAUUUGUAUCUCUACAUAUGAUAUCAUGAUGGUAAUUAGCACAGUUUACCAAAUAGCCUGAUUCUCCUCUUUACACCCUCAUGGUGGGACUGCGCAUCCCCCAUCCCUCUGAGGUUAGCCAUGACCAUGUAACCUGCUUCAGCGAAUCAAAUCUGAGCUGAAGUGAUGCAUCACUUCUGGGUAGACGUUUUAAAAACCAGUGCAAAUUCACCACCACAUGCUCUUUCCCUCCCUCAGUGACUCAUGAAAGCAGGUGUCACAAUGGGAGACCACGAUCUCAAUAACCAAGAUGAUGAGAGACCCCUGCUCCCCAACCCCACCAGCCCACAUUGAACCCAAAGCAUGGGCAAGAAAUAAACUUUGGUUGUAUUAAGCCACUGCUAUUUUAUGGUUCUUACCAUAGCACAAUUUAGCCAUCCUGAUAUGUACAAGAAUAAGAAAAAAAUCUGGGCCAGGCACGGUGGCUCACACCUGUAAUUCCAGCACUUUGAGAGGACAAGGAAUGCAGAUCACAAGGAGCUCCUGGAGGGCAAGGAGUGUAUCCUGUUCACAUCUACAUCUGCGACCUCCAGCCCAGUGUUUACCAAUAGAGAGCACAGAAUUGAAGCCUGGUUUCAAAUGGAAUGCAUAUUUCAAAUGCUAGCUCUGUCCCUUACUAGCUAUGUGGCCUCAGGGCCCAGCAAAGAACUUGGCACCUCCAAAGUGGACAUUUACGGAAUGAGUGAACGAACCUGGGCUGGGAUGUAUUAGUCCAUCUGGCCCCAUCUCUCCGAGCAAACGAGAUCUGGCCUGCUUUAUGUCUCUCUCUCCCACAGGGAUAAGCUAAGUGGAGGCCCCACUUGGGCCAAUCUGCCUAGCCUGACUCCAUAGCCUGGUUUUAUUUGCUGGAUUCUCCCUUCAUUAAGACCACGGCACUGACAAGUUGUCCAGUUGUACCUUUUCUAGCCCUCAUAUCUCUGGCCUGGACCUGGGGCCCUGCCUAGAAACCCAGAUACUUUAGAACUGAGAGCCUGCCUUUGUUUUCCCCAAGUUUCCCCAGCAUGAAAGUUCCCCUCUGAAUCCCAAGCCCCAAGGCUGGGGGCCCAGACACUUGGAGUCAAACUUCCCCAACGGCUACACCCUAUCCACCUGGAAGUCGGUUCUGCCUGAUCCUUGACUUCCCUCCAAACCAAAUGCACUUUUUCCUAUUGGGACAUCAACCCUCUGACCACAUCAGUCCUUUCUGUGGCCAUCUCUCUGUAUGUUCCAACUUAAUGAAACCAUUACCGAGCAUCUACCAUAGCCAAGGCACAGGGCUAAGAACCUGAGUCCUCUGUUACCCGCAGCAGAUCCCUGUUACCACUGGCUGUGUCCACACUCAGCUAUCCUUAAUCAAACUCCUGACACUCCUGAAAGCACAUUAAAUACCUUAUAUGCUGCAAAUAAAGUCAAAUGGCUUUAUCCACGUAGCCAAUUGCAACAGACACCUCUAGAGUCACUGGUGCUACAUUCCAUCCCCUGCCAGUCUAAAAUGGGCUCAGGGAUGAUAACUCAUGUAUUCAUUCACCCUUUCAUUCACUGCUUACUGACACAUGCCGUAAGCCAAGCCUGGAAUAUAAAAUACAGUGCCUGAUUUUAUACCACUGAUCAUGAGGACAGUGGUGGUGCUGGUGGUGGUGAUGGUGAUGAUGGUGGAAGAAGAGAGAAAGGAGAAGGUGGUAACGUAAGUUACCAUUUAUUGCAGACUUGUGCUAUAAAACACUAAGUAGUGAGUCUUCUAAUGCUAACAAGAUGAUGAGAUAAGUAUAAUUGGCCUCACUUUACAGAGAAGGUAAUAGGCUGAAGAGGUGAAGCAACUUACUCAAGGUCACACAGCUAAGUAGCAAAGUGUAGUGAGACCCUAGGCCUGUCUGCCUCCAAAAUAAAAAGUGUUCCUCUGCCCAAGAGUCACACAGCAAGUGCUAAACAAAUAUAACUUCAAUGAAGAAGUGAGAGAGCGGGUCCGGGGCCCCAGGGGCUUACAAGCUGGUGGAGGAGACAGACGUACACAUAUCUACAAGCAGAGGCAAAUGCUGAUGGCUGAGACAUAAAAAGAGCUGCAGGGAGGCAGAGGAGUGAGUGGCUAACUUGACCUGGAGGGGUCUGGGGGGCCCUCUUGGAGGAAGUGAUUUUGGGGGGUAGGCCUUGAAGGAUGAGCACUUUGCGGCUGACAAGCAGGCCCGAGCGUGGUGCACCGCAGGAGCUCAGCCCUCGCCCGCCGACCUGACCUGGGCCGUGCCGAGACCUCUGAGGUCGUCCUGUCCACCCCACUGUGCCCACGCGGCCGGGUCGGGCCGG